AAGUCGUAACAAGGUUUCCGUAGGUGAACCUGCGGAAGGAUCAUUAAAAUAUUACCUUACACACAUGUUUAUGUAUACAACCAACCUUAACUUACUUAAGUCAACUAACUAAAUCAAAA
rnacentral:misc_RNA from 1 species